UGAAUCAUCGAAUCUUUGAACGCAUAUUGCGCUCUUUGGUAUUCCGAAGAGCAUGCUUGUUUGAGUAUCAGUAAACACCUCAAAGCCUUUUUUUAUUAAAAAGAUUUUGGACUUGAGCAAUCCCAACAUUUUUUCUUAAAGUGGCGGGUUGCUUGAAAUGCAGGUGCAGCUGGACAUUCUCCUGAGCUAAAAGCAUAUUCAUUUAGUCCCGUCAAACGGAUUAUUACUUUUGCUGCAGCUAAUAUAAAGGGAGUUUGACCAUUUUGGCUGACUGAUGCAGGAAUUUCACAAGAGUCUUCAAACCACUCUUGUUAAACUCGAUCUCAAAUCAAGUAAGACUACCCGCUGAACUUAA
rnacentral:sRNA from 1 species